rnacentral:rRNA from 1 species
AUGGCAGGCUUCUCAUCACCAUCUGCUACUCUAAGAACUCUAAGAAGUGGAGUUGAAGCUCUAAGGCAGUCCUCAAUUGCGCUCCACCACUCCGUUGAAAGUAUAAUCUCUUGCACAUUCAAGCCAACUUGUGUUUUUGCUAACUUGUUUCCAACCCAUUCUUCAGAUGUAAAUAAACUCCUCAAUGCAGCCUUGUUCUUGACCAAACUCCUAAGUGUGAGGAUGGCUGUGGCAAAACGAGUGGCUGCUGGUCUCACAAGAUCCCCACCCGUGGCCUUCCUCAUUAGACUAAGAAGUCUUCCAUGUCUAUAG